rnacentral:rRNA from 1 species
GUUGGGUAGGGGAGCGUUCUGUAAGCCUGUGAAGGUGGCCUGUGAGGGUUGCUGGAGGUAUCAGAAGUGCGAAUGCUGACAUAAGUAACGAUAAAGCGGGUGAAAAGCCCGCUCGCCGGAAGACCAAGGGUUCCUGUCCAACGUUAAUCGGGGCAGGGUGAGUCGACCCCUAAGGCGAGGCCGAAAGGCGUAGUCGAUGGGAAACGGGUUAAUAUUCCCGUACUUGGUGUUACUGCGAAGGGGGGACGGAGAAGGCUAUGUUGGCCGGGCGACGGUUGUCCCGGUUUAAGCGUGUAGGUGUGUGUUCCAGGUAAAUCCGGUUCACUUUAACACUGAGGCGUGACGACGAGGCACUACGGUGCUGAAGCAACAAAUGCCCUGCUUCCAGGAAAAGCCUCUAAGCAUCAGGUAACAUCAAAUCGUACCCCAAACCGACACAGGUGGUCAGGUAGAGAAUACCAAGGCGCUUGAGAGAACUCGGGUGAAGGAACUAGGCAAAAUGGUGCCGUAACUUCGGGAGAAGGCACGCUGACACGUAGGUGAAGUGAUUUACUCAUGGAGCUGAAGUCAGUCGAAGAUACCAGCUGGCUGCAACUGUUUAUUAAAAACACAGCACUGUGCAAACACGAAAGUGGACGUAUACGGUGUGACGCCUGCCCGGUGCCGGAAGGUUAAUUGAUGGGGUCAGCGCAAGCGAAGCUCCUGAUCGAAGCCCCGGUAAACGGCGGCCGUAACUAUAACGGUCCUAAGGUAGCGAAAUUCCUUGUCGGGUAAGUUCCGACCUGCACGAAUGGCGUAAUGAUGGCCAGGCUGUCUCCACCCGAGACUCAGUGAAAUUGAACUCGCUGUGAAGAUGCAGUGUACCCGCGGCAAGACGGAAAGACCCCGUGAACCUUUACUAUAGCUUGACACUGAACAUUGAGCCUUGAUGUGUAGGAUAGGUGGGAGGCUUUGAAGCGUGGACGCCAGUCUGCGUGGAGCCAACCUUGAAAUACCACCCUUUAAUGUUUGAUGUUCUAACGUGGACCCGUAAUCCGGGUUGCGGACAGUGUCUGGUGGGUAGUUUGACUGGGGCGGUCUCCUCCUAAAGAGUAACGGAGGAGCACGAAGGUUGGCUAAUCCUGGUCGGACAUCAGGAGGUUAGUGCAAUGGCAUAAGCCAGCUUGACUGCGAGCGUGACGGCGCGAGCAGGUGCGAAAGCAGGUCAUAGUGAUCCGGUGGUUCUGAAUGGAAGGGCCAUCGCUCAACGGAUAAAAGGUACUCCGGGGAUAACAGGCUGAUACCGCCCAAGAGUUCAUAUCGACGGCGGUGUUUGGCACCUCGAUGUCGGCUCAUCACAUCCUGGGGCUGAAGUAGGUCCCAAGGGUAUGGCUGUUCGCCAUUUAAAGUGGUACGCGAGCUGGGUUUAGAACGUCGUGAGACAGUUCGGUCCCUAUCUGCCGUGGGCGCUGGAGAACUGAGGGGGGCUGCUCCUAGUACGAGAGGACCGGAGUGGACGCAUCACUGGUGUUCGGGUUGUCAUGCCAAUGGCACUGCCCGGUAGCUAAAUGCGGAAGAGAUAAGUGCUGAAAGCAUCUAAGCACGAAACUUGCCCCGAGAUGAGUUCUCCCUGAGACUUAGAGUCUCCUGAAGGAACGUUGAAGACGACGACGUUGAUAGGCCGGGUGUGUAAGCGCAGCGAUGCGUUGAGCUAACCGGUACUAAUGAACCGUGAGGCUUAACCUUACAACGCCGAAG